GAUGAACGCUGGCGGCGUGCCUAAUACAUGCAAGUCGAGCGAACAGACGAGGAGCUUGCUCCUCUGACGUUAGCGGCGGACGGGUGAGUAACACGUGGAUAACCUACCUAUAAGACUGGGAUAACUUCGGGAAACCGGAGCUAAUACCGGAUAAUAUAUUGAACCGCAUGGUUCAAUAGUGAAAGACGGUUUUGCUGUCACUUAUAGAUGGAUCCGCGCCGCAUUAGCUAGUUGGUAAGGUAACGGCUUACCAAGGCAACGAUGCGUAGCCGACCGGAGAGGGUGAUAGGCCACACUGGAACUGAGCCACGGUCCAGACUCCUACGGGAGGCAGCAGUAGGGAAUCUUCCGCAAUGGGCGAAAGCCUGACGGAGCAACGCCGCGUGAGUGAUGAAGGUCUUCGGAUCGUAAAACUCUGUUAUUAGUGAAGAACAAAUGUGUAAGUAACUAUGCACGUCUUGACGGUACCUAAUCAGAAAGCCACGGCUAACUACGUG
rnacentral:rRNA from 1 species